rnacentral:rRNA from 1 species
UACGUAGGCAGCGAGCGUUGUUCGGAGUUACUGGGCGUAAAGGGUGUGUAGGCGGUUGUUUAAGUUUGGGGUGAAAUCUCCCGGCUCAACUGGGAGGGUGCGCCGAAUACUGAAUGACUUGGAGUGCGGGAGAGGAAAGUGGAAUUCCUGGUGUAGCGGUGAAAUGCGUAGAUACCAGGAGGAACACCGGUGGUGUAGACGGCUUUCUGGACCGUAACUGACGCUGAGACACGAAAGCGUGGGUAGCAAACAGG